rnacentral:rRNA from 1 species
GGGCGUAAGCGUGCGCAGGCGGUUCGCUAAGACAGAUGUGAAAUCCCCGGGCUUAACCUGGGAACUGCAUUUGUGACUGGCGGGCUAGAGUAUGGCAGAGGGGGGUAGAAUUCCACGUGUAGCAGUGAAAUGCGUAGAGAUGUGGAGGAAUACCGAUGGCGAAGGCAGCCUCCUGGGCCAACACUGACGCUCAUGCACGAAAGCGUGGGGAGCAAACAGGAUUAGAUACCCUGGUAGUCCACGCCCUAAACGAUGUCAACUAGUUGUUGGGGAUUCAUUUUCCUUAGUAACGUAGCUAACGCGUGAAGUUGACCGCCUGGGGAGUACGGUCGCAAGAUUAAAACUCAAAGGAAUUUGACGGGGAUCCGCACAAGCGGUGGAUGAUGUGGAUUAAUUCGAUGCAACGCGAAAAACCUUUACCCUACCCCUUGACAUGGUCGGAAAGUCUGCUGAGAGGUGGACGUUGCUUCGAAAGAGAACCCGGCGCACAGGUGCUGCAUGGCUUGUCGUCAGCUUCGUGUCGUGAGAUGUUGGGGUUAAGUCCCGCAACGAGCGCAACCCCUUGUCCCUUAGUUGCUACGCAAGAGCACUCUAAGGAGACUGCCCGGUGACAAACCGGAGGAAGGUGGGGGAUGACGUCAAGUCCUCAUGGCCCUUAUGGGUAGGGCUUCACACGUCAUACAAUGGUCGGAACAGAGGGUUGUCAAGCUCGCGAGGUGGAGCUCAUCCUCAGAAAAUCGAUCGUAGUCCGGGAUCGCAGUCUGCAACUUCGACUGCGUGAAGCUGGAAUCGCUAGUAAUCGCGGAUCAGCAUGCCGCGGUGAAUACGUUC